UGUCGCACAUAAAAAUGUAUACUAUCAGACCAGGAUGCUUGAGUAAGUUGCCACUUGUCAAUGAUACCAAAAAAAAGAGGACAAGAAAACACAGUAAGAAAUUAGUUGGACUUCAACUGUUAGAGAAUGCUGGCACUAAAGUUAUUCAUCCGCUUCGUGGCUUAAACCCAGAAGAGGAGAGGAAGUUAGGGAAGAUUGUGCUCGAAGAAUAUGAAACUGAGUUCUAUAUACUUUACGACUGUCCAUCUGCUGGUAGUACAUUUUACACCAAGCAAUCUCCUGAUGUGCGCCAUAGCAGCAACUCAUUUGAUGUCUUUCUUCGAGGGAAGAAAAUCCUGUCUGGUGGCGAACGUGAGAUUGAUCCUGAUGCAUUGUAUUCAAGGGCGGCAGAUCUUAAAAUAUCUGGAACUGAUCUUGGUGAUUGGGAUUCUGUAUGCACGUAUAUUGAGGCAUUUCAGUGCACCAUGCCUCGACAUGGGGGAUUUGGAGUAGAUUUAAAUCAAGUCACGACAAUGUUAUUUUCUACUAACGACACCGAUAAAGCAGGUGUUGAUGGCAAAGAGGCAGCUGUGAAGGGAAUAGAGGCAGCAGGUGUGCAAAGUAAGGAUGGCAAAGACACAAGCCGGAAAGCGAGGAACAAAGCUCGUGUGAAAGACAAGGGAAAGUAGUAAAGCUAAAUCUGGUGUAAGUCCAUUCUGUGAGUAGAAGGUGGAGGCCUUCUUUAAGAUUCAGGUCUCUGUAUGUCUUAAUGGAUGACGGAUUCUCAAUAAUACUAUGUGCUUGAUACAACAUUUUUAUCUAUAACUGAACUCAUUGCAUGAUCCUAUAUUUGGAAGGAAUGAAGAGAAAGAGGUUGGGCAUGUCUGGAACAAAGCAGUGGAUUCUGCACUGGGCACUGUGAUUGCAGCUUUUAACUCCCGCUGGUGGUGCCACCUCUCAUUGGUUUCAACAUUGAAGUGCUGUUUCUCUGUCGCCAUAGCACUUCACUAUUAUACUCUGAUUGUAUUUCUUCCUCUCUUACCAAGACCAUGCAUCUCGUUCUUAACCGUGCUAUAAUUAGGCCUACCUUUUUUUUCUUCUCUCCUUGAAUGGAUUGGCUAAAUGACUAUAUAUUAUUCGAAUAACGAUUAUUAAUACAUACAGGCCUAGAAAUUAUGUACCUUUUCUU